rnacentral:rRNA from 1 species
GACGAACGCUGGCGGCGUGCCUAAUACAUGCAAGUAGAACGCAGUUGCGAACGGGUGAGUAACGCGUAGGUAACUGCCUCAUAGCGGGGGAUAACUAUUGGAAACGAUAGCUAAUACCGCAUACUGUGAGAUGGAACUGCGUUGUAUUAGCUAGUUGGUGGGGUAAAGGCUCACCAAGGCGACGAUACAUAGCCGACCUGAGAGGGUGGUCGGCCACACUGGGACUGGGACCAGGCCCAAGAUCCUUCGGGAGGCCACAGGAGGGAAUCUUCGCAAAUGGACGGAAGUCUGACCGCGCAAAUCCGCGUGAGUGAAGAAGGGUUUCGGAUCGUAAAGCUAUGUUGUUCGAGAAGCGUUACCUAACCAGAAAGCAACGGCUAACUCCGUGCCAGCAGCCGCGGUAAUAC